rnacentral:rRNA from 1 species
AGAACGAACGCUGGCGGCAGGCCUAACACAUGCAAGUCGAACGCCGUAGCAAUACGGAGUGGCAGACGGGUGAGUAACACGUGGGAACGUACCCUUCGGUUCGGAAUAACUCAGGGAAACUUGUGCUAAUACCGGAUACGUCCGAAAGGAGAAAGAUUUAUCGCCGAGGGAUCGGCCCGCGUCUGAUUAGCUAGUUGGUGAGGUAACGGCUCACCAAGGCGACGAUCAGUAGCUGGUCUGAGAGGAUGAUCAGCCACAUUGGGACUGAGACGCGGCCCAAACUCCUACGGGAGGCAGCAGUGGGGAAUAUUGGACAAUGGGCGCAAGCCUGAUCCAGCCAUGCCGCGUGAGUGAUGAAGGCCCUAGGGUUGUAAAGCUCUUUUACCUGGGAAGAUAAUGACGGUACCAGGAGAAUAAGCCCGGCUAACUUCGUGCCAGCAGCCGC